UUUCUUGUUUUAAACUUCGCACCUUCCAAUUUAAUUACAGUGAACAUGUUUUGGCUCUGGUCCCUCCUUGGAUACUAUAUAACUCAAAUCAGGAAAAUUGCCUCAGUGGAGAGUGGAUAUCGUAGGGGUGCAUAGUUAAAAAUGGGUAUGAAGAAGGGUGUUAAAUAAAAUAAAAGAAAAUAGGGUUAGGUGUGGUUGAAAAGUGUGAAAAAAAUAAAAAGGAAAGAAAAAAAAGAAGGGAGAACAAAAAAAACAAGGUGAAGUAGUGGAUCCAAUAAUGUUAGUGUAGUGUCAAGGAGGGUGAGUCACUAUUUCCCAUAUGUACCACACCUGCCCCCAAGUCUACAUUACAAGAGAAUCCCUAUAGAGAUCCAAGUCUAACUGGCUGAAAGACAAAGGUAUUAAAAAUAGGACAUGCAUAUGGUAUUAUAUGCAUAUUGUUUGAACUUCUUAUGAGAGAGUGAGUGUUUUAUGUAUUCCCUGCAUUGAAAUUCAUGAUGAUACUAUGACAGAUGGGACUUCCUUGCUAUGAGGUUACAUGAGUUGUAUUGUUAAGUGCUCAUUUGUUCGGGUAAUGUCAAUUGCAUGUCUGCUUGGUUGUUUGUUGCUAACAAUGCUAUCACUUGAUUUCUUUGUGACAUAUAGUUGUGCUACAUGAAUCAACAUAGUAGUUUAGAAUAUUUUGACUAAGAAAGGGUAGUAAAAUUUUAGCUAAAAAGAUUUAACUAUCGUAGGUGCCUUAGGUUUCUUAUAGUUAAGCAUCGUAUUUGUUUGUUAUGUGUUAGUUUCUUGAUGUCUCCCAAAUUAUACCUCAAAAAACAUAUAACGUGGUCAAUGUCAAAUAUAGAACCGAACAAACAUUAAGGUUGAAACCAUAGGGAAUAGGACGAAUAUUUCUCACAAACUUGCUGAAGUAGCCUAAAAAAUGAAAAAAAAAAGUAAAUGGGGAUAUUUUGUAAGAAUAAUAUCAAAAGUAACAAAUCUUGGUUGCUUUGAUCGAAAUCAAUAUGACAUGAAUAAUAGGAUUAUGUUUCCCUUGACUUCCUAAAUCCAUAGAUUUAUCAAGCUCCAUCAAACUAUGCCAAUACCUUGUAUCCAAAAUUUGAUAAGAAAUAUAUCACCAACCAUCUUGUGAAUGCUUUGGUGAAUUUGACCCAUUACCUUUUGUGUCUCAGAGUGUCGUCUUACUAACCCUUAUCUUAGAUCCCAAAUUAGCUUGAGUGUCAAGUUAAUUAGAUGAGGGUUGGUAGCCUCAUAUUACUAUCGCGAUCUUCUUUUCCUAAUCUCUACCUCUCUUUUGAAGUAAGUAGUGAAUACAGACAGGUUCUUAAUGUUGGCCGGCAUUAAGAAAACAGUAAAAUCAAAGAUGAUCACUAUGCAUUCAAGAAUAUUAAUCAAGAAUGAUUUUCACUUCCUUUACAUCAAUAUUUCACCAGGGUUCCUACAAUUCUAGUUAGGUGAUUUAGCCACUCAUGUUUGCUAGAACAUCCAUCGAAUUCAUCAAAGAAAGAAUAUGAAUAAUCUUACAAUAAUUUUAGAACAAAACCUAGAAUUUAAAAUUAAUAAUCAACCGUAAAACCAAGAACAAAGGAUUCCAAGAUCAAAACUCGAAUCUUAGAAUCAAUAUAUUAUUGUGAAUGUAACUAGUGUGUAAACUAACAAAAAGUCAAAUCUUAGAUUCUCAAAUGUUUAUCCUCUGAAACCUAUAGAGGCACCUAUGACUAUCACAGGUACCACUUACGAGAAGUAAGUAACCCCGUAAGUGGUCCUUCUACACUUUUUCAUCAUCUCCUCUUCUCUUCAUCUCUAAAAACUUAAUUUUCUGCAAUAAAAAAAAACAAAAAUACAUCAUAUCUAACAAAAAGAACCUAAUUGCUUGCAUAUUUGUUUGGUUUCAAGUAUUUUAAGUGCCCUGAAAUCAUGGCACAUCAUUGACAGGGGACAUGCAAAUAUUCAAAGUUGAGGGUGUUGAUGUUCCAAGGUUUCAUGGAUCUUUCAAUGCUUAAAACAAGGAAAUUAUGCAAGUACUUAGAUAUUCUUGUUAGAUGUGAUGUGAUUUUGAGUUGAUUUUGUAGAUAAAUAAAAUUCGAAUCCAAGAAAGAGAUAAAGUUAUGAAGAGUAGCAGAGAAGGCUACCUACGAGCCAACCUAUGGCUCAUAGGUAGAACCUACGAGCCCAUAGGUACAUGUUCUGAAGAUUCUGUAUGUUGAUGAUGUACUCUGAUUCCUAUGCCCUCUUCCUACAAAGUGUAGGUAAUACGUAUAAACCGUAUAUUGCCUUAUAGGUAGGUGUUCAAUAGCUGAAGAUUUCUCUGAUUUCCACAAGCCUACUUAGGCCUGAUAGGUACAACCUACGACCCGUAGGAUGCCUCAUGGGAUAUUACCGACACAAGUUUCAUACAUUGUUUUAGAUAGGUUUUAUUUUGUAUCCAUAAAUACCCCUAGAGGGUUUUAUGAAUAUUUGGACUCUUUUACAAUAAUUUAUGCAGUUUAUACAUAUUCUAUAUUGUUUGAGUUUUGAGAUACACUAUUGAUCUUGGAAUUAUUGUUCUUAGUUUUUAGGGUUUAUAAUUAAUUUGAGAUUUUGGAUUUUCAUUCUUAUUCUUUGUAAGUUCAUUCAUAUGCUUUUAUCUAUGAAUUGUAUGUGUGUUUUUAAAAUCAUGAGUAGCUAAACCUCAUAACUAGAAUUGUGGAAACCUGGUGAAUUAACAAGGCAGAAAAAGUGGAAAGUCAUUUUAGAUUGGUGUUGGGAUUUCUUCACUUUGAUUUCUUUUUUAAUGGUUGAAAAGGUUAGGAACUCGCCUGUAUUUGGUACUUUCUUAAGAGAGAUAUAGAAAUUAGAAAAAUGAGAUCUGAAUAGUAAUUUAAAACUACCAACUCUUGUUGCAUUGUAGCACACAUGCAAGUUUACGUGGUCACUCAAGUAGUAAAGUGGCCUUUUAAAUCCAAGUAUCGAUACCAUAUGGACUUGUGCUUAGCAAAAAUCAAAUUCUAGACUCACUACGAAGAUUGAACAAGUGCAAAAGUAUCCAAUAGCUUUUGAGAAUUGAAAAUUAAAAGCAACCACAAACAAUGCAAUAACAAUAAAGUGCUUGAAAAAUAAUGGGGAGAAACAUAGGUUUAAAGAACUAAAAAUAAUCCUACUUAGUUGUAUAACUUGGUUAGUUUAGUUAAUUAUCUUGGUUGUCGGUUCACAAGGUUGAUAACAUGACUAUCUUCUUUCGAGCCUCUAAUCGUCUAUCGAGCUUAGUCUCACAAUAACAUUAUUGAGAAGGGAUGCGAGAACUAAGAUAAAUGCAGUUAUAUUUCAUAUUAUAUAUGAAACAAAUAGGGAAAGUUAGGUAUAUUCCCAUCCUAAACUCAAAUCUUAACUUCGAGCCCUUGAAUGAAUAAGAUCCUACUCCAUACAUCCCACAUUCUAAUCUAUUGUUCCUCCUUCUAGACUCACAAUAGAAAUAUUAUUUUAUUCUAAGGGUUGCAGAUCUAUAGAAUAGUAAAUACAAGGAUAUUCAUAACUAAAUAUGAUAAUAAAUAUAUACCAACUAAAUUAUAAGCACAAGUAAUCAUGUUUUUGGCCUCAACCCUAGAUGAGGGUGUUCAGCUGCUCAUGGUCUUACAACGAAUUGCAAUUAAGAAAUUCAUGUACAAAAAUAAAAAGUAAACUAAAGAAAAUACAAAACCCUAAUCAAAAAUUCCUAAAGUGUUUUUCAAUCCCUAUAAUUCAUCCAAGGUGCUUUGUAACACCCCGAUUUUCUGAACCAAAAUGCUACACGGUGCUUAUGACCCUGAAGGACCACAAGCUAACCCAUGACUGAUAUCUGUAUCUAUACACUACAAUAUAUGAUGUAAUAAUGUUGAAAAACAUAAAAAAUAGGCCGUAAGGUUCAACUAAAUAAAAUAUCUGACAAAUGUAAUAGACAUAUGGGUGGUAAAUACCCAAAAACAACUAAAGUCUGAAUCAAAUUUGAACUAAAUCUGAAAGCCUCUAAAUACUGUCUGAGUUAGGAGUUGAAGGAACAUGUCUCCAACUAACUCCAUCUAGUAACACCGAACUGAAAUAAUAAAUGAAAUAAAAUAAUAUCAUCCUCAAAUGGAUGAGGACUCACUACAACCCUAUGACUGAAAUGCUACUGCUGAUCUGGAACACGUGCCUCUGAACCUAUGGUGUAACAUAAGAGAAAGCACCAUAGCGUAAAUGCGUCAGUACGUCUGAAUGUACUGAUUAUAUGAGUGAGGUAGGCUAAAUGCAAAGGAUUAUAUGCAUGAACAAUGCUGACAAAUAUGAACGUGAGAAUACAUAUAUGCAUAAGCAACUAUAACUGAACUCAUGGUGAUACUGAUUGCUGAGUCCGAAUACUGAUGACAUGACUUUACUGAUACUGAGAUACUGAAUAGAUGAAUGACUAUUUUUGACAGUUUAAAUUAUGAAGAAUUAGUCUGAUUGACUAUGUCUACAUUCUUGAAACUGAAUACUGAUAAUAUAAUCUAUGACAACUGACAUAAUUGAUAUAACUGUGAUGAUCGACAAGACCGAUGUAAAUAAUAUUGAGAAACUAUAUUUAACAGUCUGAGUUCUGUUCUAUAUGGAGUAACUAAAUUUGAGCUCAGUCCUAUCUAGCGGGUGAUCUUUAAAUCUGAUGAUUCUGAUUCUGUUUAGCUAUAGUUGAGAUCAGUCCUGUCUAAUGGUUGAUCUUGAAUUCUAUAUAUAUUGAUAAGGAUUGACUGUCUCUAAUAGUACUGAAUCUAUUCUACUAAACUGAAUUGACUAUAUCUGACAGUCCUGAAUCUGUAACUAAAACUGUAGGAUGUAUUUAUCUAACCGACAUGCCCCAUGCUAAGCUGACUGGGGUCCAAUCCAUGCCCUGACUGGAAGGGUGUCAGUACCACACCACCAGUAAAGAUAACUACUGUGGAGUCAGUCCUAAUCUAGUGGGUUACUCCUUGGAUCAGUCCUAUACAUAUAAAUGUGCUAAUGGGUGACCCCAAAGCAUGCCAGUCCUAUCUAAUGGGUGACAUCUCGUACCUACGCUGGCUACGUAGUUCUGGAACUUAGGGAUUGCUUCUAAGGAUCUCUGUCCUUUGAAGCGGUUGAGUCCUCAUCCCUAGGCUUACUCGGUGCUGAAUCCUACUCCCAUCUGAAAUACACUGAACUGGAUAACUGAGCGAAACUGAAUAACUGAACUGAACUGAUUAGCUGAAAUAAUGCUGAUUAACUAAACUGAUACUAGUGGUAUUAUUUAGUGAAGCUAAACUAAGUUUACUGAGUUCCUUUGACUGAAGAAACGUACUGAGUUCUGAGUACUGACUGAGAGUACUGAAAUUAUUGUGAUCGCUAGGAAUACUGUUGUUACUGAGAUCAUUGAGAUUACUGAGUACUGAGGUUACUGAAUUACUGAGACUGCUGAGAUUUCUGAGUUUUCCUGAGUCACAUGACUAACAGAAUUCUAUAGACCAUCACUUGACUGAGAGUAUGGUGAUAACAUGACAUGACACUAGGCAUACAACUAUAUUAUUUCGGGUACAAGUACCUCUAUGACUCGACGGAAGGAAACUGACACCCAUGACUGACUUGAUCAUAAGAAUAGAGUCCACAAUUCACAAUAUCAUAAGUAAGGGAUUUCAUACUACACUUGGUUCUCAAUAUCUUAUACAUGGAAGGGGAUGCGCACAACAUGUAUAUACUCGCGUUGCUCCAAUAUCAUACUCAUUCUAUAUCACAACAACAACACACAACAAUAACGUGGAGUUCAUGUGGAAUCAUAAAGAAUAGAACCCGGGCUUGUCAUUUAAGCACUAUUAAGUCAUAAAAACAUGGAUUCUAUCAUUCUUGGCAUUUUAUCAAACACCUUACAUGCACAACUUAGGGCAUAGGUGUACUUAUCAAUUUGACAAUCUUAAUCCAUCCAAAAUUUAUGAGUUUCAACUAACCUACUCACAUGCUUCAUUAAAAACACAUCAAUAUACAACCUUGGAUCCAAACAACAAUCAUCAACAUGAUUAUAGCCAUAACACAACAAGGAAAUCACAAUUUAUAAUUUAAAACAUAAUUCUUUAGCUGCAUAGAUGAACACUAUGCAUACGUUAAAGCUUGAUCUUGAAAGAGAUCUAAUAUUUCUUGAAGGUUCUUGAAGAAAUCCUUAGGCUUGUUCUUGAUUUUUCUUGACUAGGGUUUAACCCCUUUGGGAGACAAUGUUCUUGUGCUUGAGGAGAUGAUCUUGAGAGAAAACCCUAAUCUUGUGGUUGAGAGUGUAUUAGAGAGCUUUUUGAGAUGUUUAACUACAGAGAAGAAAGAUAAUACUCUCCUUGAGGGUUAUAAGUCAUGGGAAUUGAAGGAAAAGACCAAAAUACCCUUGCAAAAACGUCCCUCAAUUGUUGGAAAAAAAAUACCUGACGACAUUUGUGACAAGCUGUCUUACUAGUGAUAGGUCGUCACGAAUUGUCAUCACAAAAAGGUGAAAUCUUGGUUUUCUGGUUAAGCUUGACGACAUUGGUGAUAGGCCGUCAUGGGUGUGACGGCUUGUCACAAAAUGUCAUCACUGGGAGUGAAAAUCUGCCCAGGGCUGACGACAUUGGUGAUAUGCCAUCACGGACAUCACGGCUUGUAACAAAUGUCGUCACUCAGUUUCCCAGUCUGACAUGCCAGAGUAAAAUGGGCAUAACUCCUUGCUCCGAUAUCGGAUUUAGGUGAAACUGGUAGCAUUGGAAAGAUAACUCAAUUAUCUAUAUUUUGAUGGGUCCAGCACUGAAAAAUUCUUAGUAUAACGAGAGAUAUUCUCAUUUGAAGUUGAAUAUAUCAAUAUCCUUCCCAAGAAUUCAAUCGGUAAGGAAUGUUUUGAUUCGUCUGAUAGCUGGGAGUUAUUUGAAGACUUAAUAUACAUGUAACUUGAUCAUAAAACAAUAAAAGAACCAUGAUGUAAUAUGCAUAAGAUUGAAACAUGGAGCUAAUAGUGGUUUGGAUUUUUUAGGGUAUUACAUGCUUACAAAAAUCCCCAAGUGUCCUAUUUAUAAUAUGACAAAAGUUGUAUGUUUGGGUGCCUUAGGUGUACCAUGCUGGUAUUUCUCCGUGUUUAGGGUGUGGAAUUCCCUUAAAGUAGAUGCACACAAUUUUUUACACAUUUAUUUUGUUUCUAAGGGAAUGGGAUGCCAUUAUCUUUGAGGUUCAAUGGCGUGACAUGCCCAUGUGCUCAGAAACAUCCGAUUUUGUCAUCGAUUGCUCCUUCAUUUUGGCUUUGCAUUCCUCACUUAUUAGGUGUAUUUACUCUUCACUUGCAGAUUGUUUAGAUUCCAAAAAAUGAUCUUAACAUCAUACAUGUUAUCAUAUAACAUAAAAUAAAAAUCAUUAGUUCAUACAAUACUACAGAGUUCAAACAAGUAGACUAGAACCAAGCAUAGCUCAAGCUAGCGCAACUAGUUUCAUCGUCAAAACUCUAUUUGAUAUUUUUGACUCUUAUCUUGUUUCAACUGAACCUUAAAAACUAUAAAAAUGUAACUACACAAAUAUUUACACAAUUAUACCCUUAAUAACUUAUUACACAAACUAUAAUUCAUUGAGAUAAACUAGAACAACGCAUAGCUCAUGCUAGUAACACUAGUUUUCUCGUCUAAACUCUGAGGGACCAAAUUAAUUCUAAACUUGUUUAAAUCACAACUUAAACAUUAUAAUCAAGUAUUUUAACAAAUAUGUUCUCAAUUAUAUGAAUAUCACCUCAUUAAUAAUACAAGAAGUUCUCAAAGCAAAGCUACACAAAUAUAGACUAUUAAUAUUAGGUGUAUACAUCCACCUAAGAUCAUCUCCCCACACUUAAAGCAUUGUUCAUUAUCGAACAACUCUUUACAUUAAGAACAAUAUAAGUAAGACUCUAAAAUUACUACUACAAUCAAGAUACUAAAGCUAGAACUACAAUGACUAUAGGAAUAGCAAGUUCCACACAAAGCAUCCCAUAUACAAUUGAAAGCUCAUGAACAUUACUUCAAAACACUUUAGCCUCAAAAUUGUCUCCAUCAAGUUGACAAAAUCAUGUAUAUUACCCAAUCAAAAAGAUUCUAUGAAUCACCUAACUAUCAUCAAACAUGUGUCCAUACCACAAGAUAGAUUUACCCAUAUUCACUCAUAAAGAUGUAAUUUACCAUAAGAAUACAAAAAUGGUUAUAAGAAUCAAAUUACGCUCACUCUUAUACAUGUCACAUAAGAUGAAGCCUAGGUUUUCCCUUAUUAUAGUGCUCUACUAAUAUAAAAAUAUUUGAACUCAAGAUCAAAUAGGACUUUAAGGAUUGUAAUAAAUGGGUAGGAACUAUUUUGGCCUGUAAUAGUGACUAUCUUCCCUAAUCACUUUAAUACAAUGCGUUAUACAUUGAAAUCCUCUCUUAAAAACCAAUUUAUACCACUCUUAUCUUUCCACUUCUUUUUUGCUUUACCCCACCUCUUUAAUCUAGUUCACAUAUAUUACGGAGGGAGCAUUCUCUAUCACCACAUGAUUAAAUUUUGAGCACUUUUCUCUUUUUAUCAUAUUACUCCCUAUAACAACACAAACUUUUUCAACCCCAAUAGCUACUACUUUGGGGUUUCACCUCACCUCUUUCCUUCUUAAAUUUCACACUCCUUAACCGUAUUAAUUAUUCAACUAAAGUUCUUAGGAGCUUUGGAUUAAAUUAAGAUCAUCCAAAGAAGAAGAAUAGUCUAGGUAUGAGGACCAAAGAAUAGGCUAAAGGCUUAGUAGGGCUAUCUAAGAUAAUGAAACAAUGGUAGAUAAAAGGGGAUUUAAACAUGGCUAUUAAAGAAAUGCAUAUCCCAUUUCCUAAACCCAAUUUUUUUUUACACACCCAGAGGACAAGUUCUAGAAGUCAAUACGUAGUAAAAAAUAGAACAAAAGCAUCACAUCACACAUGGCAUAUGAUCAACUCAAGCAGGAUAAUUAUAGAUUCUCAACCAAGCAAAAACACAAAUUCAGAAUUAAGCCUACAUCUUAUAAUAGUCAUAAAUAUAGGCCUAGGUGUCUCAAACGUAGUCAUUCAACAUAAUAAACAUGCUAUCACAUUCAAAACCACAUGUAUCAUGUAAUCACAUAUAGCACCUAAAAAGAACAUCCCACUUAUUCCUAACACAAAAAUUUUAAAAUUUACUCUUAAAAAUGAAAACGAAAUACUAGGUUCAAAGGACACUCCCUCAGAAAAGAACUGAAAAGAAAAACCAAAGGGUGGGUGAAGUAUGCGCCUAGUAGGCUGACACCAACAAAAACUAAACAAAUAAAGAGGAAUUUUUUUUUAUAAUUUUUAAAAAUUUAGUUAAAAACUAGAAAACAAUAGCAUAAAUUCAGAAUUAAGCCUACAUCGUAUAGAUUCAUAAACAUAAGCCUAGGUGUGUUAAACGUAGUCAUCCAACAUAAUAAACAUGCUUUCAUGUUUAAAACCACCUGCAUCGUGUAAUCACAUAUAACAACUAGCAAGAACAUCCCACUUAUUCCUAACACAAAUAUUUUAAAAUUUACUCUUAAAAAUGAAAAGGAAAUACUGGGUUCAAAGGACACUCCGUCGAAAAAGAAUUGAAAAUACACACCAAGGGGUGGGUGAAGUAUGCACCUACUAGGAUGACACCAACAAAAACAAAACAAAUAAAGAAAAAAUGUUUUUGUAAUUUUUUAAAAAUUUGGUCAAAAUCUAGAAAAUAUCUAAAAAUUAAAAUCCUAUAGCACCACUUAACCCUAAACCAUUGGAAGAUUCUCCACCCGACACUUAAAAACAUACUUUUUCCCUAAAGUGUAAUUCAAAAGCAAGGGUAAAAAUACUACCUAAGGCCUCUAGGACUAGCUAGUAGCAUCUUUAAUCAUCAAUGUGUUCUAGUGGACACCACACCCAACCUUUUCCAUGCUUCUUAGCUCAGAUUUCUUAUACUCUACUUCCCAUCAACCUGUGACUCAACAAAACAAAAACAAAAUUAAAAGUGAAAUAAAACUAAAAUACCAAAAUAAAAUACCUACCUUAACUUGGGUUACCUCCUCAGUAGCGCAUGAUUUAGUGUCACGGCUUGACCCACAUCACUACUGUUCAUUCAAAAUUCUUCAUCCUUUUCCUCCUUCUCAGAGGCCUUUUUCUCACUUUUUUUUGACCUUUUUAGUAUGUACUCUCAAGGUUUGUAUCUAUUUUCAACACCAGCCUUUUUAGGAUCCUUCUCAAGUUUUUCAACUUUGAGCUUAAACAGUGGCUUAGGCAACUCUAUGAGAUAGUCCAAAGAGGUCAUUAUUAGUUUUCACUUUACACCCAUACUCAUCCACUUCCAUAACUAUGCUCAGGCAUAAAUUCUUAUAUUAUGAAAGUGGAUUGAGUGGUUUGUAUACUUUAAAGACCAUCUCUUCAUCAUCCAAUCUCAUCUUUAGCACGCCCACUCUUACAUCAAUUAGUGCUCCUCGCAUUGCUAAGAUUUGAUGUCCAAGUAUGAUUGGUACCCUAUCAUCUGUAUCAUAAUCAAGUACAAUAAAAUUAGAAAGGGUAAUGAACUUACCAACCUUAAUGGUGGCAUCUCUAAUGAUUUCUUUGGUAUGUACUCUAGUCCUACCUGCCAUUUGUAGUACCAUAUAACAUGGCAUCGGCUUUUCCAAACAAAGAGUACUAAACAAUGAUAGGGGCCUUAAAUUUAUACUUGCCCCCAGGUCACUUAAGGCAUGGACCACAUCAUUAUAACUAGCUUAUAUGGGGAGGGUCAAACUCGCAAGGUCUUUUAGCUUCUUGAGCAUCUUCCUUAUCACUACCAAACUGUACUCCUUAUUAAGUAUCGCUGUGUUAAUAUCCUACAGCUUUGUCAUAUAAGUCACCACGUCCUUCAAGUACUUAGCAUACUUAGGCAUGCCUUGCAAAACAACUAACAAAGAAAGAUUAAUGUGAAGUUCUCAGAAUGUGCAAAGAACUUGUUAAAACAUGCCUCCUUAUCCUUUUUAAGAUUUUUAGGAAAUAGUGGUGGUGAUCCUUCUUAGCCAUGCUGAGCAGCCGUGUUUUCAGGUACUCAAACUUCCCUAAAUUUUUAGUCUCUAUAGUUUUAUCUUGCUUAUUCUCUACUUGCUGUGGGAAUAACUCUUCCUGUAUAUCUUGAUUUUUCUUAGAACGUCUAUUAAUGAGAUAUUUACCACUCCUCAAGGUGAUUACCAUAACCUACUUUGGAUUCUCCAUAUCACUAGGCAAACCACCUUGGGGUCUGGUACUCUAAUUUUGAUCUAAUUGCCCCAAUUGUGUCUCUAAGUUCUUUUGAGCAAGUUUUUAAUUUUUAUCCCAACAGGCAUUUGUUCUUGAUUGGCCAAGAUCUUCUUUAAUGACUUUUUAAUAUUAUUGGCAUAUAUGUUUUGUUGCUGCUGAAACUAUUGAAUCUCAUUGCUUCCUCCUCAUGAAUAGUUGGGUUGACUCAACCACUUUUUAUUAUAGGUAAUCCCAUAAGUUCCCUUCUAUGAAAUGACUAAAAAAGUUUACCAACAUCAUAUUUUCUCCAUAUAAGUCUGUAAAUUGAAUGCUGAUACCAUAAAUCUCAUAUCAAGAUGGAAUCUGCUGAACUGCAUUUACCUGAGCUUACGAUUGAUUCAUACUCAACUUGUUGAAUUGUGUCAUCAUCUGAUUCUGAAGAGCUGACAAUUGGGCAGCAAAAGUUAUGACACUAUCAACCUCAAUCAUACCCACAGGCUUUUUCACUACACUUAUGGAGAUAUCAUCAUGCCAAUCAGGAUUAACUUGUGAAAUUUGGUUCAACAAGGUAUAUAACUCAUCAUAAGUUUUUUCCAAUUCUUGACCACCUGCAGCUGAAUCUAGUAAAAUCUUUAUGUUAUAGUCAAAAGCUUCAACAAAAGUAUAAGGUAAUACAAUGUUGAUCUAUUGGUGAUUUGGGAAAUCCCACAGAAGAGAUUUGAACCUCUCCCAAGCAUAAUACAAUUUCUCAUCUGACUUCUACUUAAAACUCAAAAUAUCACUAUGUAACCUUGAAGUUUUGCCAUAUGGAAAGAAUUGAGAGAGGAAUUUCUUUGCCAGAUCAUCCCAUGUAGUAUGAAGUUUGAAGAUUCUGCCUUCAACUAUUUCUUUGCUUCCCCUAAAAGUAAAAAAGGGAAGAGAGUAAGCCUCACAUAAUCAGUAGAGACUCUAACAGGACUGAAGGUGUCACCGAUCUCCUCUCCAAGAAAUUCUGCAAAUAGACCUAUGGAUCCUCAUGUGAAAGGUCUGUGAAUUGCCCACUACUAUGCAAUAGUUACACUAUAUUCUGUUUAAACUCAAAUCUACCUCCAGGUGUCGGUCUAUGGAUAGUGAAUGUAACAUUGGUUGUUAGUGGGAUUAAAAAUUCACAAAAAAUACUGUGGGCUGGUGGAUCCUCAUCCAUAGGUGUAAGAAUAGCUUCCUCUUGAUGAAUUUGAGGUAUCUAACAGAGAAGUAUUAUUUCUCUUCUUAACUGAUGUAAGCAUAGCUCUGGUUUAUGAUAUGGGUCAAUCAAAUCCCUUUCCUUUGCCAGCUUACUUGAGUUUCAUACCUGUACCUACAAAUUCAAAAGAUAAUAUCAAGUUUGUAGCUUUUAACAAACCAAAUAUCAAAACUAAAAAUAAGACAUUUCCAAGUUUAAAGUCCCCGAAAACGAUGCCAAAAGCUUGUUGUAUCCUAACACACACGCAAGUGUAAAUGGUCACCCAAGUAGUAAUGUGGCCUUUAAAAUCCAAGUAUAAGUCCCACAGUAACUUUUAAUCACCAACAAUCUAAUUCUAGUCUUACUAAGAAGAUUAAGAAAGUGCAAAAGUAACCAAUAGAUUUUGAGAAUUGAAAAAUAAAAGUAACCGCAAACAAUGCGAUAAAAAUAAAGUGCUUGAACAAUAAUGAGGAGAAACUUCUGGUUAACACACUAAAAACAAUACAACUUAGCUAUAUAAUCUCAUUAGUUUAGAUAAUUAGCUUGGUUGUUGAUUCACGAGGUUGAUAACAUGACUAUGGUCUUCCGAGCCUCUAAUCGCCUAUCUAGCUUUGACCCACAACUACAUCGUUGAGCGAGGAUGCAACAACUAAGAUAAAAUCAUUUAUAUUUAAGCCCAUAUCCCUAUCCUAAAGUAAAAUCUAAAGUUCAAUCCUUUGAAUGAUUAAGAUCCUACUCCAUACAUCCCAUGUUCUAAUCUAUUAUUCCUCCUUCCAGGAUCAUAAUAGAAAUAUUGAUUUAUUCUAAGGAUUGGAAAUCAACCAUAGAUAAACAACACUAGAUGAGGAUGUUUAGCCGCUCAUGGUCUUACAAAGAAUCGAAAUUAAGAAAUUCAUGUAAUAAAAUAAAAAUCAAACAAAAGUAAAGAUUAAUAAAACUAAUUUAAUCAUACUCAAGUGUUUUUAAUCCUCAAAAGUUGCCCAAGGUUCUUACAAAAAGUCCCAAGUGUCCUAUUUAUAAUAUGACAAAAGUUGUCUAUUUUGGUGCCUUUGGCGUGCCACGUUGGUGUUGCUCCGUGUUUAGGGAAUAGCACACCAUUGAAAUGGAUUCAAAUGUUUUUGAAAGAUUUGUUUUCUUUGUAAGGGAAUAUCACUUCCUUAUCUCAGAGUUACAAGUGCGUGACACCCCCAUGUUCUCAGAAACGUUUGAUUUCAUUAUCGAGUGUUCCUUCAUUUUUCCUUUGCAUUCCACACGUCAUGGGUAUAUUUUCACAUCACUUUCAAUUUUUUUAGAAUAAAAAAAUUAUAUUAAAAUCAUAAAUUGUCUUCGUUAAAAUUAAAAAACAAGCAUUAGUUCUUACAAGUUAAAUCAAGUAGACUAGAACCAAGCAUAGCUUAAGCUAACACAACUAGCUUCAUCGUCUAAACUCUAUUUGAUCUUUUUGGCUCGUAGAUUGUUUAAAUUGAACAUUAAACACUAUAAAAAUUGUAUUCCACCAUAUAUUUACACAAUUAUACAAUUAAUAACUCAUUACUCACACUAGAAUCCGUCGAGAUAAACUAGAACAACACAUAGCUCAAUCUAGUAACACUAGUUUUCUCGCCUAAACUCUAAGUGAUCAAAUUGAUUCUAAACUUUUCUAAAACAUAUGUUAAACAAUAUAAUCAAUUAGGUUAACACAUACAUGCUCAAUUACAUUAAUAUCACCUCAUUAAUCAAAGAAGAAUUGGACAAAACAAAGCUACACAAGCAUUGAUAUGACACUUAGGUGCAUAAAUCCAACUAAGGUCACCAACCUUCAUCUAAUUAACUUAAGACCAAGAGAAAAUGGUUAAUAUGAGAUCCUAAACAAGGGUUAGUGGUGAAACACACUAAAAUCGAGAGGAGAUAUGUGAACUUCACCCAAACUAAGGUAGAGAGACAGUUAGGUGGUACAUAACUUGUUAGAUUUUUUAAGCAGGGCAUCGAGAUAGUUUGACAAGUACAAAAAGACUGCGGAGUUAUGAAGUCAGGGGGAAUAUAAUCCUAGUAAUCAUCUCAUAACCAUAAAAACCUUAAUUUCCCAUCAUUUUUAUAGUUACAAUUGUUUUUACAAAACCCCCCAUCUUGUUUGGCUUGAUAUUAGAUAAGUGACCAUUUUAUACUUUUUGGAGUUAUAAUUUGGGCAGCAUCUAUAACCUCUGUCAAGAUGUUUACAAAUUAUCUCAAUUAAUCUUGCUGACAAAGACCUUUGACAAGGAUUUUACAAUAUAUUUUAAUCAACCUUGUUGGCAAAAAACCAUGGCCAAGGGUUUUAUAAAUUGUUUUAAUCAACCUUGCCAGCAAAGACCUCGGUCAAGAAUCUUAUGAAGUGUUUCAAUCAACCUUGUAUGAAACGACAUCAUCCAAAGAUUUUAUAAAGAGUUUCAAUCAACCCUGAUGACAAAGACCUGGGUCAAGGGUUUUAUAAAGAGUUUCAAUCAACCUUCAUAACAGACCUUGGUCAAGGGUUUUAUAAAGUGUUUUCUUCAUUUUUGUCAAAAUAGCGUUUCUCAGUAGAACCAUCUCAUGAAUAUGAAUAAAUAAAAUAAGGAUGUAUGAUCAUAUACAAUUCUAUUUGAAGAUAAUGAAUCAAUUCAAUAAUUACAUAAAUGUUACGACCCGAAACUACCCCCUAGUCAUAACACGGUGCUUAGAAUCACAAGUGACUCUAAGUUAACCCAUAGCUUAGCAAAACACUAAUAAUAUAGAUAAUAACUGAUAAAUACUUAAACAAUAGUUGAAUUAUAUAAUAUAUUAAACAUUUAAAGGAAUCAAAUCAUUAAUAAUCAAAUCUAAGAUCAAAAGUCGGACAUCUAACUAUAAGUAUGAAAAGCCUCUACUAAGAUGAGUUAUUGGGACAAGCCCCCAGCUAACUCUAACUGUAUGAAAACCAAAAAUGAUAAAGACAAAAUGAAAUAAAAUAUUGACUCUGUCCCUCGCAUAAUGAGGACUCACCAAAACUAUUGCUGCUAAUAUGGGAACAGAUCAUACUAGUUGCAAUCCAAAUGCCUAGCAUUAUGACCAAUAUUAUGAGACAAUAUUGCACAAAGAAAAUAUACAGUCAAUACUUUACAUGUACUGAGUAUGUAAGCUAGGAUAAUAUUGAUAUAAGCUAAAGAUGGAACAUAUAUCAUGAUAACUAGAGCAACACCAAGUAAGAACAUGUGUUGUAAAAGAUACUAUACAACUAAAUACAAGGUCAUGCAAGAAUUUGAAAUCCAAAUUGUAAACUGUGGAUGAUGGGAGUUAUUAAUAACCAACAUACCCCAAUUUAAGCUAAAUGGGGUCCAACUUGUAACCCAGCUAGAAGGAUGUUCAACACGGUGCCAAGGGUACAAACACUGACUAAUGUGAAUCCACUAAAUUAAUGUCCAAAAGGACUAAGGUUCCAAGCCUAGUCUUACGGGUGAUGCUUUUAACCAAAGUUAGUUCCAUAGUUCUAGUAAUUAGGGACUUCUACAAAAGGUCUCAACCUAACUAAUGGAUAAGCCCUCAUCCUUGCGUCUACUCGGUGCUAAGUACUACUCUCUACUGAAGGACACUAAUGACUAUAAAUCUCAAUACUAAUAAUAAUUUGAAGAUUUAUCAUAAAUGCAUUAUAUAUAAGAAUUUAAAAGUAUAUUCAUGAAAUCCUAGGUCAUCAGGUAUUCAUAACUCACCAUCUCUAAAGAAUGCAAUUAUUAUGUAAAUUUUAUAAGUAGAACGUAUUUAUAGAAUUCAAUAACUCAGGUCCAACAAUGAUGGAUUUUAUAAUGUAACUCGGGUUGAGAUCAUGGCUAACUAAUAACACUAAAAUUUAUGCUAACAUGGUAAUUAUAACUCAUUAACACCAAAGGGCUAUGAUAUCAAUGAAUUUACUAAUAUCCAUAAACCCCAAAUUGUGAAAAUAAACUAAAUUAAAGUGUUGGGUUAACUUUAGGACUUGAUAGGUGAAAAGGGAACUGUAACGACACAAAAUCACAUCCUGGGAUAUCACACGGUGCUUAGGACUACAAGUAGCCCCAAGCUAACCCUUUGAGCCUAUCACGUCUCCUAAUAACUCAUUCAAGAAGAAAUAUACAAAACACUGGAACUGUCAUAUCAAAUAAAAGGAAAUACAAAGGUAAUACUCAGUCCAAACGACCACAAUACUGGAAAUCUCAAUUUAACCACAGUUUGAUAACUAGUCUGACAUAGCCUGUACUACUCCAUGAACUCGAGAGUUGUUGGGACAGGUCCCCAACUGACUCAAACUGAACUGAAAGUAAUAACAUAAGCACUCGAAUACUGAAAUUUCUGAACAUAGGUCCUCAAACCAUGAUGACUUACCACGGUAGAAAUGUAGAUAAAGGUACUUGGGAAUCACUGACGAUGCUGGGACUGAGCACCUGAACCUACAUUAUAAGACAAUGUAGCACAUAGACGUAUAUGUGGAUCAGCACCUGGGAAUGUAUUGAGUAUAUGGGGGUGUAUGCAUUUACAUAAAACAAUAUCAAUACUCUUUAAUCAAAUCAUGCAUGAAAAUAGGAAUGACUCACAUGGCUAGAAUAAGUCUAAAAUGUAAAGCUCAUAAAUCAUGUAGAAUGAAGCAUGUAACACAAAUCUCGUGAGUUAUUAUACUUUUGCUUUAAAAUUUGUGCUCUCCUCUUAUUCUCAUUACUCAUAGGAUGAAGGAAGCUUAAAAUAAGACUUUCAACUCAUGCAUAUGUUUCAUAGAGAGUAAAACUUCUUUAGUGCUCAAGAACUUAUAACUCAUUUGAACUCAAACACUUGGAACUCGUAAUCAUAUGACUUUGGUUUAAAAACUGAUGAUCAACUCUUAUUAGUAGACAAAAAUCCUUCCUUUUUUGGAAAAUACUCAAAAGCAAUUCGUUCACUUUCAAAAAUAUCUCACCAUAAGGAUUUAGUGAAAUUAUUCUAUCUCAAUGGAAAAUACUUUUGUUUAGGAGGUUCUCUUAUCCGACAUUAACAAUGCGAGAUGCAUGGAGUCCAACGUCUUGUCCUCCUAAGGAAGAAACCUCACAUUGGGGAGAGCCGUCAUACUCUUGCCAAAGAGUAUAACCUCAAUUCAGUGAUCACUUAUCUCGGCCUCGGGCCCAAUCAUCUGGACCUCAGGUCUAAAAUCUCAAAUCUACAAUGGCAUGUAGUUCUGUGGUAAGAAACCAUGGUAACUUACCCAAUUCGGUGCUAAAUACUACUCCCUUUAGUUUAUCUCGCUCAUCUCAUGGAAAUCCACUUUUAAAAAAAUCUCAUGGUUCAAAAGAACCCAAUAAUCAAACUUCUAAUCUCAUGUGGUUGAGUGGAUUUCCGAACUCUAUAACCAUUAGCUCAAAACAUUUCUCAAUAGUCUCAAAAUACUCAAAUCAUGGGUGCUUAUAGCACAAUAGUUCAUGAUAUUGCAGUCUCAAGUAGGGCUUAAUGACCCAUAAUUCAAUAUCAAGUUAAAACUCAUCAUAAUGCUUAAUAGAUAGCAUAUAGAUUCAUAAUUUAUGUAGAAAUCUGGAAGUUACAGAAAUUUGUCUCAAAAUAUCAACAUACUCAUAUACUUCAAUUUCUGGAACAUUGAAACUCUUAAAUUCUCAAGGAGUAACAACAUAGGGUAUAAACCCAGUUUCAAUUUCUUAAGAAAACAUGCAAAAUUAUGCUAUUUGACUUUCAAUUCAUGGGAAACAUCAAGUUAUUGUAAUAAAUAACAAUGGGUGAAAAACCCUAAUUCAAUAUCAUGUAAAAUCUCAUAGAUUGGAGAAAAUUAUAGUUUAAAUAAGCCUUUGGGCACUAGGGUGAAAGAAUUACCCUUGUUCAAAACCCCAUAUACCUUAGAUUAUGAAAUUGGAUGAACAAUGUUACUUCAAAAUCUUCUUCUUACUCUUGAGAGAGGGCUCUUGAAACCCUUGAACUUGGUGAACUUAAAUCUCAACUCAAUUUGUAGAAUCUGUGGUGAGUUCUUGGAUUUCUUGGAGAAGGUUUUAGAUUUGAUCUUGAGGGAGAAACCCUAGCUCUCUUGUGUUUUGGAUGAUGGAUGAAGUCAUUUUCUUCAUUUGGAAUAUAUCUGGUUGAUAAAAGAACGGAAAUACCAAAAAAUCCCUUUAAGAAAAUAACUUAAAAUACUGAUCGGAGGCUGCAACGGUCCAUCGCUAGCAUGAUGGUCCGUUGGAUCGUCUUCCGCACGUCAGUCAACAAAAUAACACACUGCCUUAAUGUGACAGUCUAAGCAAUGGUCCGUUGCAAACCUGAUGGUCUAUCGGAUCAUCCGUCGCACGUUGGCCAGGAUGAGGCCACACUGCCUCAGCAAAGACAGUGUCAGUGACGGUCCAUCGCCCUGGCCAUCACACUUGGGCCAGAAAAGGGAGUUACUACCUUGGGUUUGAUGGUCCAUCGCAGACUCGGCAGUCCAUCGUACCUGGGCGGUUCUGACAGCUCUCAGUAAAAUGGCCAUAACUUCUCACCCCGAUGUUGGAUUUGGACGAAAUUGGUAUUGUUGGAAAGCUAAUUCAAUUCUCUACAUGAAAAAAAGUCAAAUUUUAUAAAAAUCUAUAUGUUUUAAACACCAAUCACUUGGGAAUUCACUUCUCAAUCUUUUAGGGCCAAAAUUACACUUUACUUAACACUCUCUUAGGCUCAGACUACGAGGGAACUUUACGGGGUCUUACAGGAACCCAUUGAUAAAAUCCCACUUACCUAGAGAUGAGAACCCUAAAGAAUUCUUUAGAUUUAAAUGUCUGUGGAAGAUGAAUCCUAGAUCUACCUAGGGAAAAAGAAAUCACAUCUUUUUUAUUCUUAAACUAUGUAUCGAAUGUUAUUCUAAGUAAUGAGAGAUUAGGGUCAUAUAAACCCCAUUAAUGGCCCUUGAGAUUCCCAAAAUGAAAUGGUUUUAAUUUAACAAGAGUAGGAAAAGGUUGAUUUGCCCCUUAAAAUUUCCUAUCUCAAAACUACAGAGAGGGACGUACGAGACCUUUCCCCGAUCAUUGGACCAACCUACAAUUGUGGGUUGAACUCAUGGUUGGGAAAUGGAUGAGAGAUCCCUGAACAUGAUUAAUCGAUCCUUGGUAUAAUUGUUGUAUCUACCAAUGAUCAUACAUGGGUUCAUCUAUUUUUUGGUUACAUUAAGGGCAUCUGUGGGACUCAAGAUCGUGCUAGGGGAUCAUGGAUUUAAAGCACAUUUGUGGUUCUCUCUCAUGUGAUGAGGGUACACUUUGUCAAAUCUUAGAUAUUGGGAUUGUCUCGAUUAGAUGAGACUAUUGUAUGGUCAUACAAUGUAACCAUGGUUGUGGUUUGGCUUGUGGUGUCCUACUACUGAGUAGUGCUUUACUAAAAAAAACAUAGUUUUUUUACUCUAGUGUCGUAUGAAGGAAAAAUUAGAAGAUUGGAAAAAUAAUUCAAAUAUAUAUUAUUAUAUCGAUUUGGGGCUCAUAAAUUCAUCUAGAAAUGGAAGUUAUGCUUGUUUGAAGUUGAUCACUCCUUUAGGGAUCGAUUGAUAAGUGUGGUUUUGGCUAGGUUAGGACUAGGGGGAUUUUGUGGCCUUGGUACUUGGACAAAUCCCUUCUCAUGUUGUUCAUACCCUUCUCAUGUUGUUCAUAUGUACUUAAAGCAUGGUUCUAGACUUGGCGUAGAUUUUUUUGGGGCUUUAUAAUAUCUCCCUCUUGAGGUCAUUGAAUAGGAACUGACUGAGCUGAAAGAUUAGGGGACAAAAUAUGCAAUUCCCAUAUUUUCUUCACCACUUAUCCUUAUAUUAUUGUAACCCCUAUGCACUACCUAUACCUGAUAUUCACACACUAAGUUUUCUAAGAGUUGAACAUUGAUGUGGUGUUAGGUCGAUAACUCAACCAAGGGUUAAUUCGUACUUAUGAAUGCAUGAUAUAGCAUCGGAGUAGUUAGGUUACAUGUAAUAGAAGGAAUUAAUUAAGGGAAACUAUUACCUUUACAUGGAACAUAGUUAGAAGGGAAAAAAUGAGGGUACUUUGUCAUUAUGUCUGUCUCUAUUUCCCAAGUAUCUCUUUAAACAAACUAAUUUCUCCAAUGAACCAUUAACAAUGUAAAUACUUUAUUCGUCGACCAAUGAACCUAUUGGUUAAAGAUUUAAAUAGAGACCUCUUGGUAAGAGAUACUAUGGUUGACAGUACCCGAGCGCACACACAAGUGUACAUGGUCUUAUCAAGUAAUAAAGUGGCCUAAUGAAAGCCAACUAUCGAUCCCAUAGGGACUUGGUUUAACAACAGUUUGAUUUUAGUUCAUAAUUUAGAUUUAACUGGUGCAAGAGUAACCAAAAGAGAGUUUGGAGUUUGUAAAUUGCAAGUAAAGUAAGUAGUGCGUAAAGUAAAGUUCUUGGACAAUCAAUAGGAAUUGAACCCAGGGUUGAAGAACUUUGAAGGAUUGUACUAUAUUAUUGAAUUUCAUUCAUCAAUUCACUUAUCUUGGUUGUCGAUUCAUAGGGUUAAUUGCAUGAUCAUAGCCUCCCGACCACUAACCAAUUACCUAAUUUAGACAUUACAACUACAUCGUUGAGCGGAGAUGUAAUAAUCCAAUUAAGUUAUUUAUGCUAUCAUCCUAUGUUUGAAUCAAGUAAGGCAUCUAAGUACAUCCCUGUCCUAGAUACUAAUUCAUAUUCCUUAUUUCAUAAAAGACUACAAACCAUAAUUUGUUCAAUCCCACUUUCUAUCUCCCUAUUCUUUCUUCCGAGUUCACAAGGUUGACAAUGGGUUUAUUCUAAUGGUGAUCAAGCCUCAACAUAGUUAAAAUAAGAUUGAACGGACAACCAACAAUGAUAAGAGAAUCAAUGAAAUAAUAUCAAAACCAUAGAAUUCAUGUAGUUCUCUUUAACCCCGGAAAAAGGGUGUUUUGCCACGCAUAGUAAUAAUCGUAAUAACUAGUUUGUAAUUAAUGAGUAAGAACAUGUAUGAACUAAAUUAAAAUGAUAAAAAACGAAGUAAAGAAGUUGUAUAACCCUUCCUUGAUGUUCCAAUAUGUCCAAAUAUCCAUAAUAAUAUGUAAAAAGAUGUAUUUACAGUAUGCAUACAAGUCCAAGCCGUGUAGGAUUCAAAUUGCACUCCUUGGUCAUGUUUAAAGGUGGGUCACGGCGUGAUGAUUGCAUGACUUGACUAGGGAUCACGAUGCAAGGAUGGCUUGGCUUAAUCAUGGGUCACGAUGAAUGGAUGUUUUGAGUCAAAUGGGGGUCGCGACGUGAGGCUAUCGCAACACCUCUCUAGAAUUUGCUUCUAAAAAAUUGGUUAAGUGUUAGAUGUUCCACCUUUCAUCCUUGACUUAGUGGUGUCUUUCCCAUGGUAUUCCAGCCUCCAAAUCAUCUAUCUAUCAUCAUAUUAAUCUAAAAAAAGAUCCUUCAUGAGUACACCACACGAAUUAUAUGUUCAAACAACACAAUAUCCAUCACGACUAAUCAAGAACAAGAGCUUAGACUAGGUUGGUUUCCAUGAUCUUUAAUUUCAAGUCUCAACUCUUUCCUUGACUCGCUUGAACUUUGUACACUACCAAAAAGUUGUUCCACAUAUAAUAAAACCAUUAAAAUCAAUUAGAACACAUUAAAUACAAUAGAAUCCAACCAAAGAGACUACACAAGCACCUAGCUCAAGCUAGUAAUGCUAGUCUCAUCGAUUGAACUCUAAGUGAUCCAAUUAAACCCAACUGAUUUGGAAUACACUUUGCACAUUCUAAUCACACACUUUAUAAAUUAGAUGCUUAUUCAUGUCAAUAUGAACACAUUAAGAACACGAAUUUCUCUAAAAACAAGGCUAAAUAAACUAGAAUAAUGAUACCAAAGUGUAUAAAACCACCUCAGAUCAUCACCUCACACUUAAACUCUUGUUCGUCCUCGAAUAACUCUUUACUCUAAGCAUCAAAAGCUGAGGUGAUGCUACACUUCGACUUAAACAAAGUCACUCAAGAUAGUAUUACAAUGACAACACGGAAUGCAAGUUUCAAUACUAAGCAUGUUAUAUACACAAUUGAAAGCUUAUGAACACUACUUCAAAAUAGCCUAGCCUAAAGAAUCGACUCACUUAAGUGGAAAACUCAUGCUUAUUAAUCAAUCAAGGACAUCAUUCAAAUCACCCACAUUUACCAAACAUGUGCUCUCACAACGAGAGAGUUACCCAUAAACACUCACAAUAAUGCAAUUUAUAACAAUGAUGGGUACAAGAAUCAAAUUAUGCUCACUCUCACAAAAAAUUCACAAGUUACACGUAAUGAACCAUAGGCGUUCCCUUUGUGUAAUGCUUUAAUGAUAUCAGAAUGAAGAACUUAGGAUCAAUUAGGACUUUUUUGGGUUGUAAUAUAGGCUAAGGGACGGGUAGGAACUAUUUGGGAAUAGUGACUAACCUUUCUAAGAACUUUAAUACACUACAUAAUACACUUAAAACCAAUCUCCAACAACCAAUUCUCAGCAUUUUUGUCUACCCUAUUCUUUUGUUUGGACCCAUCUUUUUAAGCAUUUUCAUAAACACAUGGUGGGUGUAUUGCUUAUUCCUUCAAGAUUCAAUUUUUUUCUUUUUCCACAAUUAUGGGAAUAUUUGAAACACCAUUUUAUCACUCCCAACCACCACACAUCAAUUAUAAAAACCAAUAAAUCUUACCUUGCACAUUAAUUUCACCUUUAUCUUCUUCAAUUUCUCAAACUCCUUACUAAAUUAUUUUUUUCAUUAAAGCACUUAGGAUCUUUUGGAUCAAAUUAUGGUCUAUCAAAGAAGGGAUUAGGCUACAUAUGAGGCUACCAAAGAAAAUAAGCUAAAGGCUCAAUGGGGUUAACUAGGAUAAUGCACAAAGGGUAGGACAAAUAGAAGGUAUAAAACAAGGCUAUCAAAGAAAUGUCUAUAUCAUCUCCUAAACUCCUAUUCCUUAUUUUGCUUUACACACACUGGGCAAGUUCUAGAAAUCACAUACAAUAAGGAAUAUACAAAAUACCUCAUAUCACACAUGACACAUGCUCAACUCAAUAGGAUCAUCAUAGACUCCCAACCAAACAAUAGCAUGAAUUCAAAUUUAAGCCAAUAAGUACAAGAGUCAAAAACUUGAGGCUAGGAGUCUAAAAAAUAGUAAUUCACUUAUUCAACGUGCUUUUACCUAAAAAACUUGCACCAUGUAAUAAAAAAUAGCACCAACAAGAAUAUCUCACAUAAAAUUUUUUUAAUUGAGCCAAAAUUUGGGAAUUUCCCAACCCCACACUUAAAAAUCUACUUUGUUCCCAAAAUGAAUUUAAGGUAAGAGAUUGAAAUACUUCUUGAGGCCUCUUAGCCUAGCUAGUAUCAUAUUUACACAUAAAUAAGAUCCAUGGGACCCUACUCUCAGUCAUUACCAUGCCCCUUAGCUCAAGUUUAUGGUACUCAGAUUUCUCAUUAACCUGUGAAUCAACAAAAAACAACAACUACAUGAUUUAAAAAUUGAAAAAGGAAAAGAAAACAUACUAACUUAACUUGGGUUGCCUCCCAAGAAGCGCCUAAUUUAUUAUCGUAGCACGAUCUAACUUAACUCAACCAUAUUCCUUCACCCUUUUACUCCUUUUAGGAGCCAUUUUCUUAUUUAUUUCUGGCCUUUUGAGUUUGCACUCUCAAAGUCAACAUCUUUUACAAAUUCAAUCUUUAUCAUAUUGGAAAAUAGUGGAUUCCCCUUGGGCUGCUCAAUCAGGUAAUCCAAAGAAGUCUUUGGUGGAUUAACCACCCCAUACUUUUCCUCUUCAAUAAAAUUGAUCACACACAAAUCUUUAUAUUGGGAAUUUACAAUGGGUGCUUUGUAAAUAUCAAAUACCACCUAUUCAUCAUCUACCCUCAUUUUGAGUGUGCCUUCUCUAGCAUCAAUCAAGGCCCCUCCAGUUGCUAAAAAAUGAAUGCCCUAAGAUGAUUGGUACCUAUUUAUCUACCUCAAAAUUAAGAAAAAUAAAGUCAGCAGGUAUAAUAAAUUUUCCAACAUUUAUGAUAACUCAAUUAUUCUAUCCCGAUGUAUAAAUGAUCCAUCUUCCAACUGUAAUACCAUGGUGGUCAAUCUAGGCUUUCCCAAGCUCAAUGUUUUAAACAACGAUAGGGGAAUCAAAUUUCUGCUUGCCCCUAAGUCACUCAGUGCAUGGACCAUUUUUCUCCCAAUUUGAAUAGGGAUAGCAAACCUCCCUUGAUCUCUAAAUUUCUUUGGGAUUUUUCGUGUCAUCAUAGCACUACACUCUUCAGUGAGUGUUAUUGCCCCUAUAUCUAGCAAUUUACUCUUAUUAGAAAUCACAUCCCUCAUGUACUUUGUGUACUUUGGAAUACCCUACAAACCAUCUAGCAAAGGUAAGUUAAUGUGAAGCUCUUUGAAUGUAUCAAAAAACUUUUUAAACAUAACUUUCUCCUUCACUUUGAUAUUCUUCCAUGGGAAGGGUAGAGGCGGUAUCAUUUUUACUUCUUCUACAAUGACUUUUUCUUUCAAGUACUUAGACUUUCUUAAAUUUUUAGCAACUUUUUCAUUUACCUGUUCAGUCACCAUAUUAGCAUCUACCUCCUUAGCUACAUUUGGAGGUUUUUGUUGAAACUCUUUACCAGUCCUCAAGGUAAUUUCCAUGACUUGCUUUGGAUUUUAUGUAUCUGCUGGUGUAAAACCCCAAAUCUGGUACUCGAAAUGCUACACAAUGCUCAUGACCCCGAAGGACCACAAGCUAACCCAUAACUGAUAUAUGUACCUAAAAACUGCAUAAUAUACUAUAUAAAUAUAGAAAUAAAGGUUGUAAGGCCCUAAGGUUCAAAAUUGUAACAUAACUAAUAAAACAAAAUAUAUGGAUAGGGAAUGAAAUGCCUACAACAACUAAAAUAACUGUCUGAACAUACUAUAGUCUGAAAAGCCUCUAACUGACUAUACUGUCUGAAUAAGGAGUUGAUGGGACAUGUCUCCAACCAACUCCAACUACUAAAAUAAAUUAAUUAAUGAGAUAAUAAAGUAAUGGUCAUGUCCUCAAAGGAUGAGGACUCACUGCUAACUCUGACUGCUGAGGAUCUGGAGCUCAUGCUUCUGAACUUAUGGUAUAAAAUACCAUAGUGUAACUACAUCAAUACGAUUGAAUAUACUAGUAUGCAUGAGAGGUAGGCUAAAUGCAAAGGGUUCACGUGCAUAAACUAUACUAACUGACUGAAUAACAUGAAUGUGAGGAUACAUACAUGAAUACAUAAUAACUAUAACUGAGUUCAUGAUAAUAUGAUUACUGAAUCUUAUUAGUGAUAAUAGGAGAUACUGAUAACUGUAUAACUAAAAUAACUAAUACUGAGCAACUGUAUCUGAUAGUCUAGUUUCUAAUGGAACUAGGUGAGUUCCAUACUAUUCUGAGUUGACUGUAUCUGAUAAUCCUAAAUUUUGUAGAACUAUCUGAGUUUUAUUAUUGAGAUUGAAUGAUUGUAUCUGGCAAGUAAGACCCCACAAAAUUGUCUCGUAGUCUAAGCCUUAGAGUGUGUUCAGUGAAGUAUUAAUCCAUCCCUAAAAGGUUGAGAAAAGUCUUCCCAAGUGAGAAGUAUUUUAAACUAUGUAGAAUUUCCCUACUAUCAAUAAGCUUUCUGUCAAUACCAAAUUCUCCCAAAUCCAACACUCGGACGAAGAGUUAAAGCCAUUUUAGUGAGACAGUAUGCCACUUGGCACUUUAGCGCAUCACGGAUCCAUCCAAAAUGGAAAUCGUUAAAAUCUAGAGAGCCUCUGCGAUUUUGGUGCACUGUUCCAAGUCUUAAUUUCACAAUUGUCAAUUUCUCGUGCACCAAUGCAAUUCCACCAUGUUGCGAUGCCUUUCCAAUUUGCAACCAAGGUGGCAAUGCAAUUUCCACCUCAUCGUGCCAUCAAGAAGUUUCUCGAUUGUCCAAUUUCCAGUGAGCUGGCAUGAUUAUGGCGCAUCACUCUAGAAUGGAAAAUUGGGAUUUUUCAUUUUAUUUCCAGAGGAAAAAAGGGUCUUUUCCCAACCCUUAUAUAUACUCCUUAACAUAGGAUUUGGCCUCGUUUCACAAAAAGUAUCAUAGUUUUCUCUCAAUUCUCUUCAACAUCAAAAAUUAAGGUUUCUACAAAAUCAAAAACCUUCCUUCUUCUUCAAGAAAAAUCAAGGGAAAUUAAGAAAUCAAGAAUCUCUCUAAGAGCUUUCAAGAAAAAGUUUCUGUAAGAUAUGCAGAUGUUGAUUCUUGGGUCCUUUUCAUCCAAGAAGCUCAAGAACCCUUUUUCUAAAUUUCAAAGCUUUUAUGUCAAUGAGUUUUGAUGAUUCAUGUGAGUUGAAAUUGAUCUUCAUGCUUUUAUUGAGUUAUGAUUCAUGUUUGUUUACAAGGUUUUCAAGCUUUGACCUUAGUAUGGGAAAUUUAUGUGAGGUUCAUGAUAAAUCCUCUUCAAGUUGCUUGUUAAGUGAUGUGUUCAUGUCAAUUAGGUGUAGAAGUUGUUGAAUAAAAAAAGUAUGGUCCUCAUAUGUUUGAUAAAAUGCUUAUGUGAAGGAAUUAGAUCCCUUCUAGCAUGUUGAUUAGAAAUCCACAAUUGAGUGCAAGCCCAUGCAUGCCAAGUAUUUGUUGUAAAGCCUUUGUGAAUGAAUUGUCAUAUGAUAGCAUGAAAUUUCCCAAUUAUGUGCUCUUUGAUACAUGCUAAGACUUUAAUACAUUCUAAGUGUUUGAUACAAGAUCUUGUUGAAUGGAGUAUGAUCCAAUAGCAUGUCCCCCUAUGUUAUUACAUGUUUAGAAUUACUAAAUGCUUGAAGUGAUACCUUAGUUAUUGUAAUGGUGAAUGAUUGUCCAUGGUCUUGAUUAUUCCAGAAUGGUUAUGUUUUACUUUUAUGUUAUCGAGUCUUGGGGUUAUUUAUAACUGAUAAUUUAGCUGUUAUCUAGAGCUCGUAUCAGUUUUCACGAUAAUUAUAGUCGAUUCAUGAUUCUCAGAACUUAGUGAGCUAUAGAACUCUAUAUUCUUAGACAGAUACAGAACUUAAGAAAUCUCAGUAAUUUUUGUGAUAAUCGUACCAGUAUCAUUAGUAAUCUAGCCUCAGUUCUACACUUAGCUUAGAUCUAGUAGUAUUCAAGUGUCCAAUUUUGUCCUUGGUAGUAUUUGAGUAAUCUGUCCUAAGCUCUGUAUCAUUUAGUCAGAUAAUGAGAUUCAGUAGUAUUCCAUCAGAUAUGGAACUAAGUGAAUUUAGCAUAACUCAGUCAGAUCAUUUGUGAAAUAUGAUUAGUAUUAGAUUCAGUUCAGUUUAAGUUAAGAAUUAGUUCAGAGUCUUUUAGUUUUGAGUAGGAGCUAGCACCGAGCGAGUGCAGGGAUGGCAGCUCCCCGUUAGAGAGGCAGAGUCAUUAGGAGCCAUCCCUGAACUCUAAAACUGCGUAUCCAGCGCAGAAUGUAGGAGUUACCCAUUAGAAAAGGCUUGUCACACAUUAGAUAGGCUUGACUAUUAUACUGCCUUAGGCUUCACUUCCUGCGAGGGUUACCCGUCAAAUAGGCUUGACCAGAAAGUUCUUUUCCCGUGGAAUGGUAUUGACACCUUUCAGCUGGGGUUAUAGGUUGUACCCUAUCCAUUGAGAUUUGAGGCAUGUUGGUUAAGUGACUACUUCCCACAGUUGCAGUUUUAGUAUCAAUCUUCAGAAAUCAGGACUUUUAGAUAUAGUCAUCUAUCUCAGUGAGGAACUCAAACAGUUCUAUUGACUUAUAGACCACCCUUCAGAUAGGCUUGGUCCCAUAUAAAGUUAUUCAGUAUCAGAUCAAGAGAUAACCCAUCAGAUAGACUUGAUCUCAGUCUCAUAUUUAGUUGAGUAAUCUCAUUAUCAGAUUCCAAGAUCACCUGUCAGAUAGGCUUGAUCUCAGUAUCAAAUUUAGUUAAGUAUUCUUGUUGUCAGAUUCGGACAUAAUCAUUUCUUAUUAUUGAUAGUAGAUUCUGGAAUCAUCCGUUUGAGAGGUUUAAUCUCUGAUCCAGUCAGUGGAGAGUAGAAUGCUCAGAAUUCAAUCAUUGAUAUGAGUAGAUUCAGUUAAUCAGUUUCAAUAUGAUUAAUUUCUUAGAUCACUCGCUAGAUAAGACUGAUCUCAAUUACAGUACUCAGUUAUCAGUAUCAGAUGAUUCAUUAUUCAGUAUCUCAAGCAUUAGUAGUGAUUUUAGAUAGUAGUAAAGUAGUAUCCGAGGUUCAGUAUUUUGAGUCCCGAUGAUUUCAGUUUAGGGUCGUGCAUUCAUGCAUGUGUUCUCAUUCAGUACUCUUAUGAUUAUUUAAGUAAUUGUUUAUGCAUAAGCCCUUACAUUUAGCCUUACCUCAUCUUCAUACUCGGUAUAUUCCCGUACUGACGCAUUUGCACUAUGCUGUUUUAUUUGACACCAUAGGUUUAAAGGCACGACAUCUAAAGUGCCCUUAGCAAUUCAGUCCCAGUCAACAGCAGUAGACGUAGCAGUGAGUCCUCUUCAUUCGAGGAUGAUCCUUUUAUCAUUAUUGUAUCAGAUUUUGUUUAUUUUUAGUAGACGGAGUUACUUGGGGACAUAUCCCAUCAACUCUAUGGUUCAGACAGUUUAGAGGCUUUUCUGACGUAUGUAUCAGUAUUCAGUUUUAAAUUUUGAGUAUUUUUAGAUGUUUUGAACUUUAUGGCCAGUUUUUGUAUAUAUUAUCUAUCUUAUGAAGUGUUCAGGUACAGAUAUCAGUAGAGGGUUCGCUUGUGGUCCUUUAGGAUCAUGAGCACCGUGUGACAUUCCGGUUCCAAAAAAAAUUAGGUCGUUUCAUGACAGUCCUGAUCUAUAACUGAAACUUUGGAAAGUAGUCAUCUAACUGACAUGCCUCAAAUAAUGCAACAUAGCUGAGUUGGGGUCCAAUCUGUAACCCCAAUUAGAAGGGGGUCAAUACCGCUCCACUGGUAAGGACAAUCUAUAAUAAACUCUCAUAUAUUAGGUAACUCUAGUGAGAAUAGUGGAAACCCUUAUAUAAAAGGUUAAGCCAGCUAAUCUACUGUAAUACCCCAUACUUUUUCCUAGCUAAUUUCAUCUCAAGAAUAUCUAGUAUUAGCUUCUAAAUUGAAUGAUGGUUAAUCCAUGAGGAACUUUCAAGAUUUUUACUUUUUGUCUGUGAGAAAUUCAAUAAUCUUUCCAUCAAUAUAAGAUUCACCAAAAUUCGAUAACCGGGUUAGAAGUUACGACUACUUCAAGUUUCCAUCAUAAAACAGAAACAUAUUAGUUAGUGGUGCACCGCGCCACAAGAGGAAAUGGCAUUUGGAAAAUUCCAGUAGGGGUCCAUAAUUAUGGCGUGUCGCACUAGGGCCCAAAUUCAGAAUUUUCUAUUUUCCAGUGUCUCAGCGCGAAUUUCUUGUGUCGCACCAAAGUUUCAGGUCACAAAGGAAAUGGCAACGCGAUGGCCCCACAUCGCGUCAUCCCUCAAUUUCCCAAUUGUUAAAAUCCAGUGAUGCAUCACGAUAGCACCAUGUCACGCUAAAGAUCCAGUUCAGGAAAUUUUUACAAUUUUAAAAGAUGUAUCCAAGGGUUUAAAGGGUCAAUUUCCUAGCUCUAUUUAAGCCCUUUAACAUGUGAUUCAGCUACUUUUCACCUAAAAUACACUCUCUUCUCUCAAAAACCUCUCAAGAACAACCUAGGGGUUUUCAUAGAAGAUUCAAAAUCAAGAAUUUCCUCAGUCAAUCUUCACGAAAUCAUGAUCCAAAGUAUGCAUAGUGUUCAUUCAUGGACUCCUUUCGUUCAUGAAGCCCAAGAAUCCCUUUUCUAAAUUCAAGUUUAUGGAUUUCCUUAUGAAUUUCAUGAUUGGGCUACUCUUGUUUAUGUGGAUAAUAAGAAAUUGAAUUCUACUCCAUGUUGGGUGAUAAAUUCUAUGUUGGUUAAAUUACUGUAGAUAUAGAUUCAUGCAAACCUAUGACUAAACCUUUGAAUGAUGAAAUUAGAAUCGAACCAUGAUGCUUAUUAUUGAACAAUGAUGUUUACAUGUACCAUGCCUAUAAUAUUUUUUAUUAAAUGCCUAGAUGAAGGUACAAGUUAUGCCUAUCACAUGUUUUGAUGAAAUUCUUCUAUAAAUGUAUUAUGGAUUAUGAUGUUAGUUAUAUGUUCAAGAAAGUUAUGCUUGGUCAGUUUCCUUUCAUCAAGUCCUGGGGGCACUUAUACCAGAAAUAUUAGCUGUGUGCCUAGAGCCAUGUCAUGUUUCCACGAUACUCUCAGUUAAGCUAUGAUCCUUAGACUUCAGAGAGUCUUAUGACUCAGGAAAUCUUUAUGAUCUCAUGAACUCAUUCAGUUGUCCGAUGUCAGUAGUAUUCCAUCAGUCAACAGAAGUCAGUAGCUCAGUCCAUGUUCAAUUAAGUAAAUCAAGUCCAAUGUCUAUUCUGAUGGGAGUAGAAAUUAUCACUGAGCAAACCCAAGGGUGGGAACUCACCUUUUAUAUGAGGGUGUGAUUCUUAGAAGCAAUCCUUGCAUUCCAGAACUAUGUAUCCAGAAUAGGUUCAGACAUCAUAGCCUGCUAUAUAAGGGUAGAUGAGGUGGCUUAACAUGCUAUAUGAGGGUUUCCACUGCUCUGAUUAGAGUUACCUGUUAUAUUAGGGUCACUCAUAUGUUGUCCUUACCAGUGGGACGAUAUUGACACCCUUCUAAUCAGGGCACAAAUUGGACCCCAAUCCAGCUGUAAUGUGUCAUUUGGGGCAUUCCAAUUAGAUAACUACCUCCCACAGUCUCAGUAGCAGUCUCAGUAAAAGAACUCAGAUAGUUCUUCAGAAUUUAGGACUGUUAGCUAUAGUCAACUCAAAUACAGUAUAGAACUCAGCUAGUUCCAUUAGAUUCAGGACUGUCAGAUAUAGUUACUCAUGUUAUAAGUUAUCAAAAUUCAGUCAUUAGUCAUUUUAGUCAUUAGCAUACUCAUGUUAUCAUGAUUUCAGAUAUAGUUACUAUGUAUGCAUGCAUGUAUUCUCACAUUCAUAUUAGUCAGUUAGCCAGUAUUGUUCAUACAUAUGAACCCCAUGCAUUUAGCCUACCUCAUAUGCAUACCAGUACAUCUAAAGUACUGACUCAUUUGCGCUAUGUUGUCUUAAACCAUAGGUUCAGAGACACGAGCUCCAGAGCAUUAGUACAUUCCAGAUAUCAACAGUCAGAGUUAGCAGUGAGUCCUCAUUCUUUGACGAUAUGAUUAUUUGUCUAUUAUAUCAUUAAUUAGUUUAUUAGUUGGAGUUAGUUGGGGAUAUGUCCCAUCAACUACUUACUCAGAUUGUUUAUUCAGAUCGAGGCUUUCUACACUAUCAUGUUUCAGACUUCAGUAUGUUUAAUUUUGUAUUGGGUAUUCUAUUACCCCACACAGAUGUUAUAUCAUUCUGAUCAUGUUCAGUAUUUAACCUUAUGGACUUUCAAUGCAUGUUUCCGCAUUAUUAUGUUAUAUUAUGCAAUGGAUAGG
rnacentral:lncRNA from 1 species